ensembl:rRNA 5S_rRNA 5S ribosomal RNA
GUCUACGACCAUGCUACCCUCAACAAGCCCGAUCCCCUGAACAAGCCGGAUCUCAUCUGAUCUCGGAAGCUAAGGAAGGUCGGGCCUGGUUAGUACUUGGAUGGGAGACCACCUAGGAAAACCAGGUGCUGUAAGCA